CAGCCGCCGCGGGAAUACGGAGGGUGCAAGCGUUAAUCGGAAUUACUGGGCGUAAAGCGUGCGUAGGCGGUGAGUUAAGUCUGCUGUGAAAUCCCCGGGCUCAACCUGGGAAUGGCAAUGGAUACUGGCUCGCUAGAGUGUGUCAGAGGAUGGUGGAAUUCCCGGUGUAGCGGUGAAAUGCGUAGAGAUCGGGAGGAACAUCAGUGGCGAAGGCAGCCAUCUGGGACAACACUGACGCUGAGGCACGAAAGCGUGGGGAGCAAACAGGAUUAGAUACCCCGGUAGUCCCUGUCUCUUAUAC
rnacentral:rRNA from 1 species